AGCACGAACGAACUGGUACGGGCGAGGGAAAAAACGCACGCCCCGUCUCGACCUCCAACGCGCCGCUGGCCCCCUGCCACGCUGCUGCGCACCGCCGGCCCCCGACACGCCGCCGUGCGCCGCCGCAGCCGACCCCCGCCACGCCGCCGCGCGCCGCCACCGCCUCUACGACGUCCGCCGCCCCACCCCUGUGGCUUUCCAUCAUCGGAGACACACGACGCCGGCGCCACACCAUCCCCCAACUCCUCUCCCCCCUCCUCCUCUGCCUCCACUGCUCUUCAGCUGGCCAACUCCCUACUGAGGGAGCCAUGGAACUGGUCGGCCAUGCCCUCGAGGUGCUCCCCGUCAUCCCGUCGCCGGCUGCUGCUCCGGGCCCGCCUCCUCUCAGCUGACAUCGCUGGAAAUUGGCGGCACCACCAGAUCCCCCGUCUGAAAGUCCCCAAGUACCAGGAGCAAGGAUUGCAGGAUCAAAACAAAAAACCGGGGAAGAAUAUAAUGUCAGUGUGAUUUGUUACCAACGGCAAUUCUCCACUGGAGCUCUAUGUGCAGCAACAGAAAAAAAUGGAGUUUAGCCUUACAAAGAAGAAGCAGAAAAAAACUCGGAAGUCCACCUUAUGCGCCUCUGCCUAGCUCAAGGCAUCAGCUGCAGCACCAAGCAAGUCAAGAAGUUUGCCUAUGGUGAGUGCCUGUUGGGUUAUGUGUUCAUGGCUUUCGCCACGGUCAUUUUGUCCGUCGUCCUGCAGUGUUGAAGGUGUUCUGGAGCCACUGGUUGGCGCGGCAUUCACCAGUUAAUGGUACAUCACACCGUCAACGCCACCGAUGGCAUCACCAAUGUCCGUCGGUCGAGGUUCACGACAUUGUAAGAUUGAAGACAGAGUUGUGUGCUCUGCUUUGUACAUUGGAGUGGCCCAUGACUACGUUGGUCAGAUUGUCCUUCUUUGCAUAUACGUACUUCUCAAGCAGAUACGACCCAAUCAAGGGCUCCUCUUUGAUGAAAGGAGAAGGAUGAAGAAGUCAAGCUAUUGGAGAGGUCAAUUGAGGAGCUCGAAAGUACUUUAUUUGCUCUCAAAAGUAGCUUUAUUCAGUUUGAGUGAAUUUUGUGGCCUUACUGUUGUAGCUAUUCAUUUUUCCAUGCAUUCUGAAUGUUAGUACACACCCAUGUUGGUAUAGAACUCCUGUUGUUAUGCCUGCGUUAUCACAACAACUUUCCCAGUUUUUGUGCAUAAACAUACAUAUGUGGACUAAACUCUUUCCCUUA